UAUUUUCGCCUGCUGUUGAAUUUAAUUUCACCUGAUUAAAAGCAGACUUCAAGUUUCAGAAAAUCACUGCUUACAAAGCAGAUCAAAUCAAAACAAGUCAAAAACACUUUCUAUUUAAAUUCAAAAUUAAACCAAUUACGGCUCCAAAAUUUAUGCAUAUUUAAUUUAAAUAUUAUGCAAGAAAAGACAAAAAAAAAAAAAAAAAAAGGAUGAAAAUGAAAGGGCUGUCUGCUUAGAGAUAAUUCUCAUAUUUGCUUUUAAUUAAAGGCAACAAUUUAACGCAAUUCCGUAGACAGACGAGAAUUUAUCAUGGGCAAAUUUAAUUUCUUGGUUACAUUUUGGGCCAGGUGCAAAAUUAAUAUACGUUAUCUUUGCAUAAGUUGUGUGCAUGUGACAAAUAAUUCCCACUGAUUUACAGCCAUGCAGCAGGCAGCAGGCGGCAGGAGGCAUUUGGCAUGUGGCUUGCAACAUGAUGCAUGCAGCUACUGGGAACGCUCGGCAGGCUUAGGCAGACCCAAAAUGCCAAAUGCAGCUGCAAUAGAAUGCCCGCAGGCCUACCAUACAGAGAGAGGAGAGAGACAGAGCGGCAGAGUGAGUAAGAACCGGAGCCGGAAAAUUCAUGGCCAAAUGCGAUUACCGUAAAGACGAAAAUUGAAUUUAUGUAUGUACGAACAAAUAGAAGGCAAAUAUGUAUACGGCCGAGAGCCAAGGCAACACGUUGCUUUUGAUUAGUUAAUUAAAAUGUCGGCUUAUAUUUGCGAAAUGAACUCAACAUUUAUGAAUAUCACAUAGCAACGUAUGUGCGUCAUUGACAUACGUCUGCACGUAAAUCACAAAGCUCGACACAGAUAUUUAAUUACCUAAUUGAAUAGAAAAGACUUGGUCCGUGUGCUGCCAAUUUUAGAGAAAACUCGGGGAAUUUCGUUGUCUCAUUCUGCAUUUACGUAAUGCGAGUCGCUCUCUCCAAUCUAAAUUAAAAUCAACGACCAGCUAGCAUUUGCAUUAAUUAAACUCAACCGCUUUCGACCCAGAAAGUAUUGAUUGCGAUCAUUUCUUUUCACCGGCCAGCAGCCAAAUGGACUUUUGCUAUAUCAUAUCAAAAGCUAAAAAUGCAGCACGAAAAACGACGACAGCAGGAGCUGGCGAGAGCUUGAGGCACGACAGCUGGACAGGCAGAUACCCAGGGAGAUGAGUACUACAGUUUACUACAGUCGCAAGAUGUAAGGUAAAAUACAAGUGCUUAAAUCAAGAAAAGUAAAACAAUUAUAAAUUAAGUACA